rnacentral:rRNA from 1 species
UUAAAUUGAAGAGUUUGAUCAUGGCUCAGAUUGAACGCUGGCGGCAGGCCUAACACAUGCAAGUCGAACGGUAACAGGAAACAGCUUGCUGUUUCGCUGACGAGUGGCGGACGGGUGAGUAAUGUCUGGGAAACUGCCUGAUGGAGGGGAUGAACUACUGGAAACGGUAGCUAAUACCGCNAUAACGUCGCAAGACCAAAGAGGGGACCUCGGG